UACAGAUCGUUCUGCUCUGGACUACAUAAUGUUGGUUAUGCGUGUGGCUGAACUCCUCCUAAUUACUGUGAUUACUGUUCUUCUCAUCAGAGCUCGAGGAGCAAGACGAUGAAGGUGACGGUGCCUUUGGAGCCCCUGUUCCCUCUGUGAGACUCCACUGAUCAACAACUUCCACGUCAACAUCAACUCAAAAAAGAGAGAA